rnacentral:rRNA from 1 species
UACAGAGGUCUCAAGCGUUGUUCGGAUUCAUUGGGCGUAAAGGGUGCGUAGGCGGCGCGGUAAGUCGGGUGUGAAAUUUCGAGGCUUAACUUCGAAACUGCAUUCGAUACUGCCGUGCUAGAGGACUGGAGAGGAGACUGGAAUUUACGGUGUAGCGGUGAAAUGCGUAGAUAUCGUAAGGAAGAUCAGUGGCGAAGGCGGGUCUCUGGACAGUUCCUGACGCUGAGGCACGAAGGCCAGGGGAGCAAACGGG